CUCAUACUACCUCCGUCCAGAAAUAACCGUUGCUCAAAAGGAUGUAUCAAGAUGUAUUUUAGUGCUAGAUACAUUCGUUUGAGCGAUAGUUAUUUUUGGACGGAGGGAGUAUUUU
rnacentral:pre_miRNA from 1 species